UACAGAGGUCUCAAGCGUUGUUCGGAAUCACUGGGCGUAAAGGGUGCGUAGGCUGCACGGUAAGUCAGAGGUGAAAUCCCGGAGCUCAACUUCGGAAUUGCCUCCGAUACUGCCGUGCUUGAGGACUGGAGAGGAGAUUGGAAUUCACAGUGGAGCAGUGAAAUGCGUAGAUAUUGUGAGGAACACUAGUGGCGAAGGCGAAUCUCUGGACCGGUACUGACGCUGAGGCGCGAAAGCGUGGGUAGCAAACGGG
rnacentral:rRNA from 1 species